GUCAAACCGAGAAGUGCUGGCUCUCAGUGAUGCUUAGAUGGAAAACCACACACCCCUCAUGGAGGAAAAUCAUCCCCAAAGGAGGUGUAAGGAUCCUGGACUCUAUUGCCUGCAAGAAGCUUCAGCCACCUUCACAGUCAGGCUAGGGCUCACUGUCCAUUGUGGAGGUGAAAAGCGGAUGGGAGCUGCUGGAUUGGCCUUGAUAUGCCAUGUCCUUGU